GCAGUUCCUUUAGGUGCUCGACUGUGCGUUCGGUAAACAUAUCGUUGACAUCCACCAGGGUAUCCAAAUACUCCGUAUAACUUCAGUGUCUCGGUCUAGAGCCUCCAGGAGCUCCCCCUGAAUCCCGGAGCUCUACGAUUAGGAUGGCGGAGUACUUCGACCAUUCGCUCAUGGGACGACUCAAGUGGCUCUAUCUGCAGUGGGAACUACUGACGUCGAUCUACAUGCUCGAACCUUGGGAGAGAAAGUUGUUCAAUUUCAUCGCCAUCUGCAUCGCAUUCACGUGUGGUUACGUUGGUUUUGUCAUGAUGCCCCGGGUCUAUAACAUUCUAAGAGCUUGAACUACGACGCAAAAUUAAGAACAGCCCAACACCCAUACAUCAUGUGUACAAUAGCAAUUAUAACUUGAAUAAAACGAAAAGCUAUAUCCUCU